ensembl:snoRNA SNORD27 Small nucleolar RNA SNORD27
ACUCCAUGAUGAACACAAAAUGACAAGCAUAUGGCUGAACUUAUCAAGUGAUGUCAUCUUACUACUGAGAAGU